rnacentral:rRNA from 1 species
UACAGAGGUCCCAAGCGUUGUUCGGAUUCACUGGGCGUAAAGAGCGCGCAGGCGGUCGUUCAAGUCGAGUGUGAAAGCCCCCGGCUCAACUGGGGAGGGUCAUUCGAUACUGAUCGACUGGAAGGCAGGAGAGGGAAGCGGAAUUCCCGGUGUAGUGGUGAAAUGCGUAGAUAUCGGGAGGAACACCAGUGGCGAAGGCGGCUUCCUGGCCUGUUCUUGACGCUGAGGCGCGAAAGCUAGGGGAGCAAACGGG